CCUACGGGUGGCUGCAGUGGGGGAUAUUGCACAAUGGGGGAAACCCUGAUGCAGCGACGCCGCGUGAGUGAAGAAGUAUUUCGGUAUGUAAAGCUCUAUCAGCAGGGAAGAAAAUGACAGUACCUGACCAAGAAGCCCCGGCUAACUACGUGCCAGCAGCCGCCGUAAUACGUAGGGGGGAAGCGUUAUCCGGGUUUAUUGGGGGUAAAGGGAGCGUAGACGGGUAUGCAAGUCUGGAGUGAAAGCCCGGGGCCUAACCCAGGGACUGCUUUGGAAACUGUGUAACUGGAGUACAGGAGGGGAAGGCGGAAUUCCUGGUGUAGCGGUGAAAUGCGUAGAUAUUAGGAGGAACACCAGCGGCGAAGGCGGCCUGCUGGACUGUAACUGACGUUGAGGCUCGAAAGCGUGGGGAGCAAACAGGAUUAGAUACCCGAGUAGUC
rnacentral:rRNA from 1 species